GUGUCAGCCGCCGCGGUAAUACGGGGGGAGCGAGCGUUGUUCGGAAUCACUGGGCGUAAAGGGCGCGUAGGCGGUUGAGUAAGUCAGAGGUGAAAUGCCAAGGCUUAACCUUGGAAUUGCCUUUGAUACUGCUUGGCUGGAGGACGGAAGAGGAUAGUGGAAUUCCUGGUGUAGCGGUGAAAUGCGUAGAUAUCAGGAAGAACACCGGUGGCGAAGGCGGCUAUCUGGUCCGUUUCUGACGCUGAUGCGCGAAAGCCAGGGGAGCAAACGGGAUUAGAUACCCGAGUAGUCC
rnacentral:rRNA from 1 species